UGGGGAAUCUUCCGCAAUGGACGAAAGUCUGACGGAGCAACGCCGCGUGAGUGAUGACGGCCUUCGGGUUGUAAAGCUCUGUUAAUCGGGACGAAUGGUUCUUGUGCAAAUAGUGCGAGGAUUUGACGGUACCGGAAUAGAAAGCCACGGCUAACUACGUGCCAGCAGCCGCGGUAAUACGUAGGUGGCAAGCGUUGUCCGGAAUUAUUGGGCGUAAAGCGCGCGCAGGCGGAUUGGUCAGUCUGUCUUAAAAGUUCGGGGCUUAACCCCGUGAUGGGAUGGAAACUGCCAAUCUAGAGUAUCGGAGAGGAAAGUGGAAUUCCUAGUGUAGCGGUGAAAUGCGUAGAUAUUAGGAAGAACACCAGUGGCGAAGGCGACUUUCUGUACGAAAACUGACGCUGAGGCGCGAAAGCCAGGGGAGCGAACGGG
rnacentral:rRNA from 1 species